GAACGGUUUUAUGCGAGAUAUAGUGAGAGAAUAACUUAAUUCGUCAAUAAUUAGUGCUAUAGCGAUAAUGUACUGAAAUUAUAAAUAUGAAUUAUUUUUAAAUCAUUCAACAUAGAAACAUAUGCAAUUGAUGUGUUUGCUUUGUUAUUAACCCUAAGUGAAAUAUAAUAUAUGAUUAGAUUCUUAUAGAUAUGUAUAAGUAUUAAAAAUGUGAAAAAGUAUAAUUGACUUCUAAACGUAAUAUGUUACUGAAUAUCUUGUUAAAUUCAAUCGCACAUAUUCUUAUAAGCUUUAAUCUUAAAUUUCUCAUCAUGUGAAUUCCAGUUAUCAUUCGUCAUCCGCCGAAUUCCAUUAAAUGAAGUUUUAUUACAUACCAUUGCAGAGAAAUAUGAACAGCAAUAUCAAUAUCAUGGAAUUCCUUGUUAUUUAACAUCUAUAAAAUGUUUAUCAAAGUUAAAGGAAAACUAAUAGUGGACGUGUAACAUAAAUCGCACAGUGAUUAACCUAUCCCCUUCAAAUGUUUUUCAAAUUGGUCAAAAGUGUAUACACAUGAGCAUUUGGUAACAAAUGAAUCUACUAUUAGCAUUUGCAAUGAUCUUAUCGAUAUUUAAAAUAGACACGGUUAAUGUGAAAGCCAUCUUACGUACACAGGAACACGAAAUGAUUAAUACAUUAUGUCAAAAUCGAACACGAUGUUAAAUAUGAACAAAAAUUAAGUAGCUUUAAUCCAUAUAAUUAAUUCUGGUUUAUAUCUCAAUAUACUUUCCAUAUCUCAAAAUCAAAGACAAAUUGACCUAUACAUUCUAGAACGUAAAUCUAUAAUCAACUUUGUAAUGUGACUUAAAAUAAAAGUUACAUCCUGAACUAACAAGUUUUCCCUGUUUCUUGUUGAAAUUCAUAAGUAGUUGCAUUUGACGGAAUUACUUUAUCAUUAGGAUAGGAUAUAGCUGCAUAAAGCAUUUCCACAUUGCAAUCAGAGAUUCAUUACGAAAAAUUGAUGCCGAAGGAAAAAAGUCGUGGCCGACAGCUGAAGAAAAAUGAUUCGUGCACAUGCCUCGGCUGGAUUAGACCCAAUACAUGUUUAGAAUGGCGCAGCGACCUCCAUCGCCUCGCAGGCAAAGAAAAUAAUCGUUGCUCCAGUUGGAUGUGCGCCAGCAAAUGUAGCUCCUUUUUAAGUUUGCCCUUCGAGCGUAGCCUUGACUUUCAGGCCGUAAAACGUGUGUAUAUCUCUACCCGGUAUCUUGCACCUGCUUCGCAAGGUGUGCAUGCGAAGAAGCUUUUGAUCGUAAGAGAAAUUUGGCCCAGACGUAAAAGGACCUUAAUUUAUUUAUUGCUACGCUACGACGCGCUACGUGCGACGGAACCGAUGACUUCGGCACUGAGCGCAUCAUUUUGCACCAGGCCUCCAAGUGUUUUCCCGGACCACACCCUCGCAAAGGGCGUUUUUCGACAACGAAUUAUACCGACGAUGCGUCUUCGCGUUUCGCAAAGGACCAUUGUGUAUUCCUUUUUAUAAAUUUCACUAAUGAUGGCGUGGUAACCAAAAGCACGCCUGGAUGAGCCGUAAGAAUAUCCAAACGACUCCAGCGAGAGCCAAGUACGAACAAGCGGUGUACACCAUACUUAUAAAAUCGACCGAG